GGACUACAAGGGUAUCUAAUCCUGUUUGAUCCCCACGCUUUCGUGCCUCAGUGUCAAUCGAUCCGUAGUAAGCUGCCUUCGCAAUGGGUGUUCUAUGUCAUAUCUAAGCAUUUCACCGCUACAUGACAUAUUCCGCUUACCUCCAGAUAAUUCAAGACAGAUAGUAUCAAUGGCAGUUUCCGAGUUAAGCUCGAAGAUUUCACCACUGACUUACCUGCCCACCUACGCACCCUUUAAACCCAGUAAAUCCGGAUAACGCUUGCACCCUCCGUAUUACCGCGGCUGCUGGCAC
rnacentral:rRNA from 1 species